CUUUUCAAUUUCCAAAGUCUUCUGACAGUUGUACUUCUCUUGAUCUGCACGUGUGCAUACAUCAGAUCAAUCAUGCCCCGUCUCCUUGAUAAAAACAAAGAAGGUUUUCUUGGGAUCUUCUGGAAAUGUGCUAGAAUAGG